rnacentral:lncRNA from 1 species
GGCACAGGCAGCACUGUGUACCUAAGAUUACAGGGUCUGGGAAACAAAGGUGGAAGUCUGUAGAGCUACUAGCCAGUCAGUGAGUUCCAGGUUCAGUGAGAGACCUUGUCUGAAAACUAAGGUGGAAAGUGAUUGAGAAGGGCAUCUGGAACUGACCUCUGACCUCCACACACAGGUACAUAUGUGCCAUAUAUGUGUACACAUGCAAUGAUGCACGCACACACACAUGCACAUGUGCACACACACACACACACACACACACACACCACAGAUCCAUACAAUACCCAGCACUCAGAUAUGAUUUAUUAAGAUAGGUUCAGUAACUCUUAAAGGUCACUAGAGAACGAAUUUCACAGACCACUAGAACCCAAAGGCCCCUCAGAGACGACUACUCUAGCUUUGUAUUAUGUAAUGAGGAGGCACUGGAGAGAUGGAAAGGGCCGAUGAAGGCCUGCAGGUAGGAGAAGGCUUGCAGACAGGAAGCAAACAGAGCUAAAGCCACUUCCAUCGCAGAAUAUACAUACACUAUCGGCUGGCAGAGGAUCUCAGGGUUUGUGUACCUAAGACCCACCCAGGAAUGUAGAAGUUCCGAUUUUUUGAGGUGGAGGGCAUCCUUUCUGGAUGCAGCCUAGAAGGCUCAGGCAGCUGAACUGUCAUAUGCUCUGCAGGCGGAGUCUAAGCAGUGCUCCUUUGACCACCUGUCCAGAAACACUUCACAAGGAAGUCACUGGCCAAGUAAACAGCUGAACUAUAGGAUUAUAUGAUAUGGCUUUGCACAGAUAAGCCAUGAGGCAAUUCCUGAAGAUAACAAACAAUGUUCCUAUUGCCUAAAGCAGGGGCAGAGUGCAAUGUCUCAUCUUCUUCAUAGAAGCAGAGAGUGCAGAAGAGAAAACCAGGACUGGAAGGGCAGCUCAGCGGAGAGGAGUGCACACCGCUUGUGGGGAGGACCUGUGUUCAGCUCCCAGACCCACACUGACAGCUUUCAACUGCCUGUCACUCCUUCUCCAGGGGAUCCAGUGCCCUCUUCUGGAAUCUGUGGGCACUGCAUACAUAUGCAUAAACCCACGUGCAGAUAUACAUGUACACAUAAUAUAUAAAACCUCUUUUAAAAUUUCAGAAGAAUCAGUGGCUCUCUGUUAUAGAAGAGCCAUCUUCUAUAACAUGAUCAGAUAUCUUAUUAGAGAGAAUUGAUUUUAAAGUAUCAUUGUCUUUUUGACAAUGAAAAGUUUUCCUCCCCGCCCCACAUGGGAGAUGAAGACAGUGUCUUUUGUAUGUAUAUUUUAUUUUUAUACUUAAUGAAUUAAUCUUAAUUUUUGAAGAAAUGUGAAAGGCUACACGAAUGUUCAGUGUACUCAAAUGUAGCCAUGCUCCUGCACUACAUAUGUGGCUGACUCAUGUUGUAGAAUUCUUUGUAGACUAAUGAAGGAAGCGAUAUAUAUAACCAUAACUAUGCUUGGGGUGGUGGGCUUGAAACUAACAGGGCCUGCUUUGAGAAAAGUUCAUCGAGGGAUUUCAGGGAUUUGCACGCACAGGUCCUAACUCCGCCCUUCUCUUCGUAAAGUGUGGCAGUGCACUCAAGUGCAUGGUGAUUUCCUUGUUUAUAAUUUGGAAAAACAUGCCUGUGCACCACAUGUAUGCAGUACCUGUGGAGGCCAGAAGAGGGCGUGGGAUGCUUUGAAACUGGAGUUAUAUAUGGUUACACUAUCACACACACAUUGCUGGAUAUUUCAGAGACCAGGAAUCUCAGGUCCAUCUGUGCAUAUCACCUGCUUCCUUUUCAUUAAUGGCCUGCUCUUUAAUAACUGUGUUGAGUAUCCUGCUCAGUGGUUAUGGUAUUAAAGACUAUGUGAACUCUCC